GGGAAAGAGAGGGAAGAACAAAGAAGACAUGGCAGAGAUCUGGAAACCCUAAAUUAAGGAUUAGAUCGAUGCAUGUAGUGGUGAUGAAACGCGAGCGUUUUCGCUGGUGAAUGAAAAGCUUGUGUUAAUGAAAGGAAAAAGGGACAGAAUGGUAAUUGGAGGAGGCUUGAACUAAGGACAGUACUCAUGAAGUUAGCAGAUUUUGGAGGUGGAACUGCACACACACACAGAGGGAGAUUGAAGGGAAGGAAAAAAUGCUAAGGUGAGAGCAGAUCUAGAUCUG
rnacentral:misc_RNA from 1 species